UUUCCCUUCUCUUUCUUCUGGUAACCUUUUCCUUCUCUCUCACUAUUUUCUCUUUUCUCCUUUCCGUUUUCCUUUCAAACCCUAGCCAAUUCAAUCUUUUCCCUUCAAACCCUCUCUCUUUCCGCCGCUGCUGAAGCAACCAUGUCAAUCUUUGUCUACGAUUCUAUGAUUCUAUGAUAUCUUAGAAAUUCUUCUUUAUUUCAAUCUUUUUCACUCCUUCUCAUUUUUUUAGAGUUUUGAUUUCAUUUUUAUUUUUUUCAUUUGCACUCCUUCGUAUUUUUAGAUCUACGGUGUUAUGAUUUAAUUUUUUGUUUGCUUCUUCUAAUUUCUGGUGUUUUUUUAGGGGUUUUGAUUUCAGAAGAAAGAAGAAAGUAAACAACAAAUCUUUUCGAAAGAUUUACAUGUGGUGAGCAUUGUUUAUGAUUUUAGUGCUUUUAUCAUGGAACUCCAAUCAGUUCAGGGACAGUUGUGGCUCAUAGAUGAAUAUUAUUUAUCCUAGAGACGCCCUUGAAUUGUUUAAGCAGAGUUGUGAAUUUGUUUGCCCUGAUGAUGGUUUUCUAGAGGAGGUGUGUAUUAUGAAGGUCACUCUAUAUGCUGUAAAUGUUGGUUGUACUACUUAACACAUUUGUGGAAAACGACAAAGACAUUACUUUUGCAGCUGUUGAGACGUUUAUGUUCUGUUUAUUGUGUCUUCUGCAGCUAUUUGAGACGUGGAUUGGGGUGGCAUCUUCCCAAAGUUGUAGGUUUGGAGCUAUUCACAUCCCUGGUGAUGGCCUUUAUAAGUUGGCAACUAUUUUCGGCAUGCCAAAGAUCUUCAUUAUGAGAAGAUUGUUACCUAAUGAUUAAAUUCUGCAUAACUAUUUUUUUACUAGAGUUAUGCUCUAAUGUAAACUUCUGUUCACAACAGCCAUGCAGUUUUAUUAAGUUUCAUUAUUUUUUAAUUGCAGUUUUUCAAUAUUUUGGUCUUAUUGCUUUAGCUGAAGUUGUUCUAACUGUUGCUCAAGUUGCAGUUGAGGUUGUUAAGUUCCAAUCUGUUCAUAUCUGUAAAGGAAAAUUAUAAGAAGUUAAGCAUGUUAAAACUAAGCACUCUAAAGAUGCUUCUGAGGAUUGUCCAGAAGAAGAAGCACUUUGUGGGAUUUGUUUGGUAGAGCUUCCGGGAGGGGGACAUAUGCUUAGGAUGGGCUGCAGUUUUAAAGGCGAGCAGAUGAAAAGAUUAGAUAUUAGUUGGUAAUUAAUUUUACAUUGAUUUCAUUGGAGAGCAAAAUAUUGAUGGUAACACUAAUUUGAUAUUUUGCUUUUGUGUAACAAUAGACCAGGAGAGUGGGGAGAUCAUGUUACUCUAGAAGCAGCUGCAAACCGGGUGAAACUUAAGCAGCAACCCUUAAUUGUUUCUACUGUUAUCAUAACUUAGCAGCCCCUAAUUGUUUCUAUUGUUUUUUGUUAUGACAGACAAAGUGCUAAACUCUGCUUAUUUAGUAUUGGUCCUCAUAACUAUGUAAGGCUAUAAAAAUAUUGUUGUUUAUUAAGUGUAUUGUUCAGUGGUAAAUAUGAACUUUGUUGCACCAUCACUUGAUUCUGUUGGUAUGUUUUUCUCACCAAUCACAUACCUUUGUCUUUAUUAUGCCCAUGGAAAAUGGGAAUGAUAUGAAGCUAUGUUUUUCUUUGUUGAUCUGCUUCCUUGAUCUCUAUAUAUAAUAGUGGUUUAACUUGGAUGAAGGUAAAAUACUUCCAUUUCAUAACACUUACUAGAUCGUUAGGUUGUAUUAAUUUUGGAGUAGGUUGUUUAAACACUCACAUUUCUUAUGACACGGUCGUGGUAUAGAAACAAAUCUCCAUGCUCAAUUUAGAUGUGAUUCUAUCAAACUUGCUGAGGUAAUGCUUAUAGUUUAGUUAAUUCAUGUCCUCAAAUACCAUUUGAUCAUACACAAAUUAGUCUUUUUGAUUGAAUUGAGAAUUUCAUGGCAAUUCAAUAAAGAUUUGACUAAUCUCAGUUCUGAUUUGUACUUUGGUUUAUAUUAUCUUGGUAGAAAAUAUUUCCUUCCGUGUGCAGCUUCCAAAACAAAAUUUACUUUUUUUCAUACUAUACCGUUUUGAUAUGUAUAUAUAUUUAUAAUAAUAUUAUCUGUUAAUUUUUUGUAGGUGCUACAAUAUAUAAAAAUAUAAUUGUUGCCAAUUGCUUGCCUAUGUUUUAUUGCUGGAGGCUGCAUUAUUUUGAUGAGUUUGAGUGGCUGUCUAGGCCGUUGUGUGGGUGUUAAGGUAGCAGCUUGGUGUUGUUGUUAAUCUCGGGUUCAUCUUGGCCGUUUAUUCUUUUUCUGGUCAUUCUCUUGGAAUUUUCUCGCCCUAUUAGCUAUCAUCGUACGCGUCAAAUUUUAGUAAGUUUCGGAUGCUUGCAGUUCUGUUUCGGGUAAUGAGCAGGAUAGUUUCAACAGUAUUGCAAAAGUUUGUAAAGUGGUGUUCUGUUUUACUGGUUUUGGUGAUUUGUUUUUUUUUUUUUGUUGUUUUUUAGUUGCUAUUUUCAUGGUGAAUGUGGUAUAUGUAAUGGUUGGGUAGUUAAUAGUUAGUUUAGGUGGUAUUUUAUGUGAUAAGGGUCGAGUUCAGUUUUGUUGUUCUUAGGACCUGUUUUUAAUCACUAGCAGGAUAAACAAUAUGUAAUGGUUUUUAUAGACAUUCAUGAUGACUUAUUUAAUCUUAUAUACCUUUUGCCCCUUUCAAAUAAUAUAUAAAAGUAUAAACAAAUUUUUUGUGGAACUACUUGCUGAGCUUCCAUCCUUUGGUAUACAUUAGAUUGCUAAUAGAUCAAUAGAUCAAUGGGGACCUAUAAUUGUUGGAAUACCACUCUUUCUAUUAGGUAUCUUAUUAUUAUACACAAAUUAGUUUUUUUUUUUGUUGAAUUUAGAAUUUCAUGGAAGUUGAGACAAUUUCAUGGUGAAAGAAAAUCAGUUGUG